rnacentral:sRNA from 1 species
AGACUCCAGAGGAUCUGGCCAAAUAUCUCCUUCAACUUGGCUCAAAUCAAAAGAAUAUGUUAAUAUGUUGAAACGCAAAAACAGAUGGUUUGAGAGAUACAUGACGCCUUUUAGGUGUGCUGUGUGCGAGGCUCUUCAUACAACCAAAGACUCACCGACCUAUAUAAAUAACCUUAGAGACAAAUUUAAUGGGAAUCCGUCCUACUGUUGGGAACCUAAAGACUUAAAUUAAUGCAAAAUUGUUCUACCUGUAUUAUUUCUUUUAUAAUGUUUGUAAACAGAGUUAAAGUAAGUUAGUAUAAUACUGCACAAACACACAAUAUCUACUGGAGAUGUCAAGACGAAGACUUAUCAUCGCUUUUGUUUCAGAAUAAUCUCUCUAAUACUUUUCUUUUAUUCUCUCUUUCUCUCCUGCCUCUGUGUCUCUUACUCUCUUUCUCCCUCUCUCUCCCUCUCUCCUUUUCUCUUCCUCUACCUACGACAGUCUUUCUCGCUCAUUUUAUUUCUUUCGCACUAACGACCUGACCCCGAAAAACCUAUAUAUGGGGUACAGUAACCAUGAGCCACAAAAACAGAUGACCCUUAUAUCAUCCGCCAGUGCCCCCACAAAUCGCAAGGUCUUAAAGUGGAACUUUACUAGAUUACAUGAACUUUUUAUUUAAAGGAAUCCUUCAGCUUGCUAAAUCGUAACCAAAGAAAAUCAUUUCGAAUGACACCAAUGAAUGUUUAGUUUCAUAAAAUCAAUAUCUCAAGGAGUCAAGCUUGUUAAUUAAAAAGCAAAGUCUGUCAAGGCCAACAAAUCUUGAUGGGUGCCUUUAGAUAAAACACGUAUCUUACCAAUAGAAACUUCACAAUUCUAGUCCAGAUACCACAUAAGACAAUACGCCAAUGAAAGUUUUAAAUUUCAAAGGGAGACAAUAAAGUUUCUCUCCUUGUAGUCUUGAAUGCUUCCCCUUAGAUUAUGUUGUUGAAUUGUGUCUUUAAAAUAUAAUGAAAAUUCUUUGACAUUGAUGAUAUGGAGGCUGAAAUGUUUCCGAUUAUUGUUUUUACUGAAAUAAAAUGUGUAAAGAUUAAAAUAAAACUAUAACAUUCCAAA